rnacentral:sRNA from 1 species
GAAGGAUGAGAAGCUUCGACUAAGGUUCGACUCGAGCGAAGCGAGAGAACGUUGCCGCAGGCAACGGCCCGAAGGGCGAAGCGCUUUAGCGCCGAGUAAUCCUUCCCCCACCACUG